rnacentral:rRNA from 1 species
AUUGAACGCUGGCGGCAGGCCUAACACAUGCAAGUCGAACGAGUGGCGGACGGGUGAGUAAUGUCUGGGAACCUGCCCGCUGGAGGGGGAUAACUACUGGAAACGGUAGCUAAUACCGCAUACCAUCGGAUUUGCCCAGCUGGGAUUAGCUAGUAGGGGGGGUAACGGCUCACCUAGGCGACGAUCCCUAGCUGGUCUGCGAGGAUGACCAGCCACACGGGAACUGAGACACGGUCCAUACUCCUACGUGAGUCAGCAGUGGGGAAUAGGGCACAAUGGGCGCAAGCCUGAUGCAGCCAGGCCGCGUGUAUGAAGAAGGCCGUCGGGUUGUAAAGUACUUUCAGCGAGGAGGCGUUACUCGGAGAAGAAGCACCGGCUAACUCCGUGCCAGCAGCCGCGGUAAUUC